CCACGUACCUGUGCCUACCACAGACAUUAUCUAAACAAUAAAAAGUUCGAGCCUCUUAAUUCAAAAUUAUUAUCAAAAGGGGACCACAUUCUGAAUACAAGAGUAAUUUAAGGGUGUUUGUGUCAUAGACAUCCUUUCUCCUCCUAUUGAAAUCCAGAUUUUCUCUCUCUACAGAGCUGUGAACUCCGUCUGCAGGCGAUAAGCUUACUAUAGGCGGUACCCAUCUUGGAACGAAAUAAAUGAUACAGGAAGAUAGAUGGUCCUUGAUAACAAAUGGGAUUUCGGUCCUCGUUUCAACAGAAGUGCUUGAUCUCAUGAUUUCAUUAUCAUUACAUGAAGACAGAGAAUUAAGUUGCAGCUGCAGUGGAGUACCAGAUGUACACGAUGCUCAUUAAUACAACCCCUACUCCCCCUCACCCAAUAUGCCUGCCUCCCACGGUGCCAUAAUUUUUGUGGCUGGUGUGAUUCCCAAAUUGUUCUCCAGAACGGAAGUUUCCACCCUGGCCAAUUACAGAGCGACAAUGUGCCAUAUGAUUAAAGGGCAGUGACUUCCACAUUCUGCUGUACAUAUUUGCCUCUUCUACUCCUGAGGAGUCCCAAAGAGGCAAGAUGGAAGGAAAGAACGGUUCUGGCAGCUCUAAUCCAGAAAAUCAUGUUUUCAGUUUGUGUGCUUUGGAAAGGGAGUUGAGUAUGAAGAUGGCACUGUCUGGAGUUGAAAAGAGAGGUGAACGUCUCCAUUCCUCCUCCUCCUCCUCCGUCAAGUUUGACGGAUUUUUUUUUGUUCAAGCAAAGAGACAAACAUUCCUUGUAUUCCAGAGCAGUUCCGUUUUCAAAGAGGCAUAACCCUAAUCCAGCGUCACUUAAGAGGUCAGCUACGGUUGUCCAAGCUUUGCCAAUCAAUGGCCAGAUUCAGCUGUAACUACCGGGGACAACCAUGGCGCCAGAACACCAGAGCCUGGCAACUGGAUGCAGUGCGUUCGAUUUCCCAGCCUGGCUGAAGAACAAAUGAGCCAGCUCAGAAGCCAGGAAACAGUUACAGAAUCGCUCGGGACACAAAGAAGACCCAAGCGGCUCAUGGCAUCCUCCUCUGCUUCCCUGCAUCCCAGCCAAACACCCCCACAAACCAUCUGCAUCGCCCUCGCAGAGGUCCCGCCGUACAAAGUCCCCAUUGUGUUCUGCAUGCAAGUAAUACCUAUGUAUAUUUCAGCAGACGUAAUGUACUGUGCUGUCAGGAGCUCAGUCUUUUUCAAAGAGCCAAGAUCAGACCCAGUCCCUGGUCACAAAACAGGAGGAAGUGAUGCCCAGUCAAAGCCCGACUGCUUGUCAGGAUUACAAGUCUGUGGAUCUUGCAGGAUGAAGAGCCAGUACGGUCACGCCUUCACCUGAGACCCACUAGAUCAGGGGAGAGAUGGGCGCCAGGGCAGAAGCCAGAAGACAGUGGAUGUGUAUACUCGAAGCACACUUAUCUUGGCAACCUCUGGGGAUGUCUGUAAAUCCAGGCGUUACUGGACAGCUUUCUCUCUCCUUGAGCAAAAUGCCAGGAAAAGCCCCAACAGUUACCAUAUCAGCGUCCAUGAAAGGCAAGUAAACAUCUGGGAUCAGUUUUGGGGGGGCUCUGGAGUCUGGGUGAGAAAAGGAGCCGCAAUGACAGGAAGUCGUCUUUGGUGGCUUUUGAACAAAGGCUACAGACUGGGGUGGUGGUGGUGGUCUAAGCAACUAUGAAAAGGAGCAAGCAAACAAACUCCUUGGUCCAGUAGCUGCUGGAUCAGGGCCAGGGUGGUAAAAAUAGCUGCCCUUUGCCCUGUCCUUGGAAGCAUCCGGAGGAAGGUGACGGAUUAAAGGGAGCAAAGGAACAGCUUCAAGGUCAGGGAAUUACCUGGCCCGGUUAUUUCAUAGCCAAAGUCACAUUUGUUCAGAAGAAGAGAUCAGGAUUCAUCUUUCCCAUCUGCAAGGGCAUUUUUGAUGCCAAAUACUGCAGCUAGAAGGCAGAGCAGAAUCCUUGAGGCCUCUGGCUGCCUUGCGCUCCCUUGGAGGAAGAAAGGUGGCUUAUAAAUGAGACGAGACAAAAUAAGUAAAGAAAGAAAGACCUUGCUGUUAGAACAAGCGCGACACGUCUGAGAACUCUGCGCGGCCUCAAAUCAUAAAUCCUGCAGCAGGAAUCAGUGGUGGAAAAGAGAAGAGGCGCCUCUCUUGCCUUAUUGGAUGAUUUUUGAAGUGUCCUUUAUGUGCCUGGUGGCCUUGGCCGGGGGGGGGGGCUGAGAAGAGCGGUGAGGUGCCUGCUGUUGUUCUGUGGUGCUGUCAGGCCUGGCAAAGUAUAGAUUGAUCGGUAUACGUACAGUUCUUCAGGAGAUCACCAUGUCCUGGAUUUUUUUUUUUUGUACUGCUCCUCAAUUCUGUGUUCUUUCACAGAAUAUAUAUAAAUAUUCCAAGCUCUGGGGAAGAGUCUGUCUUAGACCUUUGAGGACCACUACCAGACAAGUCCCCUUCGUCUAUGGAUACUGGACCACUUGAUUUCAGGCAAUGAUUGGACAUCAAUAGCAGCCUCACCUGCAUGGCAUGUAUCCAUUUGUUGGGUGUGGGGCCAGCAAUUUUUCCUCAAACUGACCCAAAGUGAUCAAAUUUGUAAAAUGCAAGAGAUGUGUGGAUUGCUCUUUCUGCAGAGCCUUUUUCAUUCAGUGACUUGGAAUAAAAUCUAAUGAACACGCA
rnacentral:lncRNA from 1 species